GGAAACUGUAGUGAUCCAAAGAGCAAGAGGGCAAAAGUCAGGAGGCUCUUGCAAAAAUCCAAGCGAGAAAUAACAGUGGCUUGAACCUGACUGGAAGUGACAGAGGAAUGGUUGGAGUCUGCUAUGUUGUGAAGGUAGAGCCAACAGGAUCUGUUGACACAUUGGCCAGGAGAUGUGCAAGAAAGGGACGAGGGCAAUGGGAUGGCAAAGGCGUUUGGUCUGAGCAACCGGAAGGAUGAAGUUGACCUGCCCGGAGAUCCUGAGAUGCAUAUCUCAGUUUGGGCCAGAUCCCCGCGCCGGGCGUCGAGGGCUCUGUUGCCUGUCUCACGUUCUUCCCUGCACUGGAAGGAGCCAGGGCUGCCCGCCGGCGUGCAGGGAUUUGGUGCUGGCGCCUGCCUGGCUACGGAAGGAGCUUGCGGGGGGACCCUCAGACAUGAUCUGCUGCAUGUGGGGACCAGGAUGGCUUGCUGGGAGAGUCUCAGAACCCGCAGACCUCAGAAGUGCCACUUGCCUCUACGCGUGCAUUGGCCUCGCCCCACUCCUCAGUCUCUCUCGCAAACCACCUCUUCACCUGAAGACCUCUUCUCUCCAAAUCCACUUGCCAACAAGCCCAGUUAAGCCCGAUUUAAGGGCAUAGGAAACACAUGGAGUUCAGAUGAUUUCCUAAAAAACAAAAAACAAAAAACAAAAAAAAUCAGUCAGCUCACUUACUGAGCACUUGCUGUAUGCUGGCCUGUUACAAAGGCUGCCUCCUUCCUCAUGGCACGCAGGGACAUCGGUUGCCCCUCUGCCCCCCGCCCCCCCAGGAGAGGGGCCUGAAAUUCAAGCAGGUCAACGUCACAACUGGGAAACAAGCCUGGGCAUUUGACUGGACUAGUUCUAGCUACCAGAAAGUUCUCUCUGGGGAGGGGAAAGCAGGAGUAGUUACUUCCAUUUGCAUAAACAAACACCAGAAGGACACAUAGAAGCUAAUGUGACUACAUAUGGGGAGGAAUGGGGAGGAAUGGGGUACAGGAGGUUUCUCAAGGUAUAUCCCUGGGUAUUACGUUGAUAUGAUAACCAAUAUAUCCAUAUGAUAACCAUAUCCAUAUAACCGUAUCUAAUAAUAAUUAGAUAUAUUAUCUAAUAUUAAAAGCAAAUGAG
rnacentral:lncRNA from 1 species